GCUGAUUCUAUAACAUCAGUACAUCACCAUUUCUUGCAGCUGUUAACAAUAUGACUCACUCAAACAUGUAUGUUACAUACUACUACACCACAUUCCUCCAAAUUAAAUAUUCUAGCAUCUUGGUAAGCAAGGAGAUGCUCAAACCACACUACUAAAAAGAAAAACCAAAAAACGAAUGAGGCAUGAAGCAUGAAGCACGCACCACUUGAGGUGAAAUUAGCAGCAAAAGUAGUAGUAGUAUUAUUCAAUACCUCAAAAACCAUAUGAAGGAUUUCAGUUCUGGGGCUUCUCCCACUUGAGGGGCUUAACGACCUCCCACGUGAAGUCGGGGUCGUCUCUUCCGAAGUGGCCGUACGCUGCUGUCUUCAAGAACCGCCCGUUGUUGCCCCUCUUCAAGUCCAAGUUGAUGGAGAUCAUUCCGGGCCUGAAAUCGAACUUCUCCUUCAC
rnacentral:lncRNA from 1 species